CAGAGUUUCACUUUUCUGGAUGCAAAGUGCAGUAAGCCAAAAUGAAGAACCUCAAGGCAAAAUUGAAGAAGAAUGAGUGAGAGAUCCCCAUAGCCAGAGUAAUAUGACUGCUUUGCUGGGGUGUAGCUGAGAGAGAACAGAAGCCAGGACUGGAGUAAGAGUGAUGAGAGACUACUGCAGGCUGUAGGGCAGAACGAACCUGACAAAGUAGCUGCUCUGAUCGUGA